rfam:Thermoplasmatales archaeon I-plasma AMDT3_IPLC00004, whole genome shotgun sequence.
AUGCCGGGCUGGCCGGGAGGGUAGGCGUCUCCUGUUACUCGAAACCGUCUAUACGCGGGGGCGACAGCCGAUAUAGAAGGCAACCUUGAAGGUGCGAGCCUUUGACGUUCGGCGAAACUCUGUCCCAUCAGAUCCAGGUUGUAUGCAUCUUUCCCGGAGGGGAGAGGGGCAUGCGUUAUCACGGGAAUCCGCCAGGACCGGAAGGGAGCAACGGUUACGUGGACCGCGGAUGCCGAUGGGGGCACGGAGCGGAGAAUAGAGAAGGUCACCGCAUCUAUCUAUCGCCCUUUGAUGUCGGUGGCCCGGCUU